AAAAACUCCCCUCUCUUCUCUUCUCUUGAGUUCUUGUGAAGCUGAAUAGUCUUGUCAUAUCUUGGUCUUCCUGAGACUCAAGGUAACAAGGGCUUUACAUGCAAAAUGGGACUAGGCCAAUUGAAUCAAGCCAACUUACAUCCAGCUAGGCAUGAAUUCAAGAAAAGACCAACCCAAUUAAAUUUAAGUCCAAUUGGAGUAAGGAAUCAAAGGAAAUUUGCGCCAAAUCCAAGUCCAAUUCGGAUUAGGAUUCCAGACUGCACAUCAGUUAGUAUUUUUGGCAUAACUUUCGGCUCAGAUGUCCAAUCUAGAUGAUUCAAGUUGGGCUGGAACGAUAACUUAAAGGGCUACAACUUUGUAGUUUACCAAAAGUCCAAAUUCUGAUGUUAAAUGGGCCAAAAUAGUCGGUUAAGUGAAGCCUAAAAAUCUGGAAUUUUCUCCAAACGGGAAUUCAACUUGUAAUAGGAUUCUUUAACCUAUUUAAAGGCUCUUUAGGGAAAAAUUCAGGGAGGCUAGUGCUAGGGCUGAGGGCUGAGGGCUGAAUGUGUAGAGAGUUGCAGCUACUUCUUCCAUGAUAGUUAGUUUUAUUUUAUUUGUCUA